rnacentral:lncRNA from 1 species
GAUUUCUAUGUUGAAUUCUGGGUCGAUGAUUGAAGAAAACGAUUAGUCUUGCUGAAUUUGAUGAAGACCUCUGGCUUUGAUUGUGUGCCCUUUCUUGUUCCUAAGGAUUUCUAACCAGACCUUACCUUAGGCUGACCUAUACUCUAUUAUCAAGAAGACUAAAUAGUGAUCGACCCGCCAUCAUCUCUUGCCUGAACUGACUUACCAGUCACUGGGCCGAGAACACAUGAUCGAGGGAAAUUUCUUUCAUCACUACGGUUUUGCUGAUUGACAAAACGGAUCUCUUCCCUGUGAGCCGCCUUCAGGAAAACUGCACCAAAGAUGUGUCUUUGUUCGGUUCAGAUCAACAAAGCAUUUGCUAAUACCAGUCAGAAGGCGACGCUAUGCAGCUCCAUUUCCUCUUAAAGUGAAUGGCCUUCCUAUUAUAUAUAAUAUUUGGAGUGUAGGAGUUUUUC